GCUCAGAACGAACGCUGGCGGCAGGCUUAACACAUGCAAGUCGAACGCCCCGCGAGGGGAGUGGCAGACGGGUGAGUAACACGUGGGAACAUACCCUUGGGUUCGGAACAACGCCGGGAAACUGGCGCUAAUACCGGAUACGCCCUGAUCGUGAGGUCGGGGGAAAGGCUUGCUGCCUGAGGAUUGGCCCGCGUUCGAUUAGCUUGAUGGCGGGGUAACGGCCCACCAUGGCGACGAUCGAUAGCUGGUCUGAGAGGAUGGCCAGCCACAUUGGGACUGAGACACGGCCCAAACUCCUACGGGAGGCAGCAGUGGGGAAUAUUGGACAAUGGGCGCAAGCCUGAUCCAGCCAUGCCGCGUGAGUGAUGACGGCCUUAGGGUUGUAAAGCUCUUUCGCACGCGACGAUAAUGACGGUAGCGUGAGAAGAAGCCCCGGCUAACUUCGUGCCAGCAGCCGCGGUAAUACGAAGGGGGCUAGCGUUGUUCGGAAUCACUGGGCGUAAAGGGUGCGCAGGCGGGCACUUAAGUCAGGGGUGAAAUCCCGAGGCUCAACCUCGGAACGGCCUUUGAUACUGGGUGUCUUGAGUCCGGAAGAGGUGAGUGGAACUGCGAGUGUAGAGGUGAAAUUCGUAGAUAUUCGCAAGAACACCGGUGGCGA
rnacentral:rRNA from 1 species